GCUAGGCGCGGUGGCUCACGCCUGUAAUCCCGGCACUUUGGGAGGCUGAGGUGGGUGGAUCACCUGAGGUCAGGAGUUCGAGACCAGCCUGGCCAACAUGGUGAAACCCCAUCUCUA
rnacentral:SRP_RNA from 1 species